UACGUAGGGUGCGAGCGUUGUCCGGAAUUAUUGGGCGUAAAGGGCUCGUAGGCGGUCUGUCACGUCGGGAGUGAAAACCCGGGGCUCAACCCCGGGCCUGCAGUCGAUACGGGGCAGACUAGAGUGCGGUAGGGGAGACUGGAAUUCCUGGUGUAGCGGUGAAAUGCGCAGAUAUCAGAAGGAACACCGGUGGCGAAGGCGGGUCUCUGGGCCGAUACUGACGCUGAGGAGCGAAAGCGUGGGGAGCGAACAGG
rnacentral:rRNA from 1 species